rnacentral:rRNA from 1 species
GCACAGCAUGCGCGCAGCCUGACGGAGCACGCCGCGUGAGGGAUGAAGGCCUCUGGGCUGUAAACCUCUUUUAUCAAGGAAGAAGAUCUGACGGUACUUGAUGAAUAAGCCACGGCUAAUUCCGUGCCAGCAGCCGCGGUAAUA